UGCGAUGGCGGCGCGGCGCGCGGUUGCCAUGGUAACGCCCGCGCCCCGGGGGGUUAAUUAACCCCCCUAAUCACCGAUAAUUAGCGCUCCCCUCCCCCUCAGCAGCGUCUCAUUUGCAUGGGGAGCCCCCGGCGCGGCCGCUGGUUGGCUGCGGGGCCCGGGACGGCGUUAAUUGGCGUUAAUUAGUGCUGGGGGAAUUAGCGGCGUUAGAGGUUAAUUAGUGUUAAUUAGCGGGGCGCGAUGGGGCCGCGGCUGCUGGACAUCAAUCAGCGCUGAAUCAGUUGUCAAUAUUUUGCUGAUUUACAGUUAGAAGCCAUUAAGGGCCUAAUUAACAAUUAUGAGCUAAUUAGCAUUAAUUAACUGGUGUAUCGUCGGUAAUUAAUCACCGGUAAUUCGGUGUUUAUUUAAUGUGAAUUAAUGGCUUUAUUAAUGACUACUAGCAGUAACUAAUAGCCCGAAUAACUCAAUUAACGCCGUAAUUAGCGCUAAUUAAGAACUAAAGGGGCGAGAAUUGCUGAUUUAAAGGUAAUUAAUGUCCUGAUUAGCGGCAAUUAACGCCGGUCACUCCCAAUGGAUUAGGGGUUAAUUAGUGGUUAAGUUGUCAUUAAUUAAAGGCGUUAAUUGCAGGGGCCCUGGGCCGCGCCCCUCCCCCCGCGCUGGAGGGGCCUCAGCACCAGGCCGGGCCCCCCCGACCCCCACGCCGUGCUCGGGGUCCGUCCCGGGGCCUCCCCCAGGGAGAUCCGCGCCGCCUUCCUGGCCCGCUGCAAGGAGGUACCGCCCAAACUGGGACAAACUGGGACAAACUGGGACAAACUGGGGGGCACUGGGGGGGACUGGGGGGGAAACCCGGCGGUUCGGGGGGAAAAACGGCGAUUUUGGGAUAAAAACGGCACCGGGAGGGACGGAAAUGGGAGGUUAAAAAUGGGACUGGGACAGACUGGGAUAAACUGGGAUAAACUGGGAUGGGAUUGAGGGAAACUGGGAGGGACUGGGAGAGGGAAAGCCGGCGGGUUUGGGGUGAAAAACGGCGAUUUUGGGGACAAACCGAGGGGGGUUGGGAACUAACCUGGCCCUGGGAGGGAACUGGGACGAACUGGGACGAACUGGGAGCGCUGGGCACCCCCUC
rnacentral:lncRNA from 1 species